GCACCUAUUUGCGGCAGAGUACUGCCGCGCUGCCCGCCCCUGUUCGAUGCUCAAGACGUCGUGCCUGCACUCGCCUGGUGAUGCGCGUCCGAGGCGUGGUCGGCCUCCAGGUCGUGCACCGGGUACGCCUCCAGGUCCUGCAUGGGGAAAUUCUUCUGCUCCUGGAGGAGGGCGUUGUCGGAGGGCUGUGUCGGCUGUUUCUUCUGCCGACUGAGCCUCAACGUAUCUUGGCCUGUAGGCCUCCAGGAAUCCAUGGUUUUCUGAACAAUUUGGAAAUGAGAAUACCACUCCGUUUGUACAUGAAGAAUUUUUUUCACGUUUUCCAGAAAUUUACAUAUGAUUGAUACAGCUGUGUCCCGAUCUGCUGAAGCAAAACUUACCAACAUCAUUUUGUGACUUCAUUUAUCAAACCGAAUCAUAAUUUUGAGAGCUAGGUUGUCAGUUUGUUUUCUGAACCAAGCUAGCCCGACCAACUACGAGGUAUAGUAAUCGAUGCUAAAGUCAUGACCUGACUCCAGAAAUCUUCAUGCUCGCCAAACAUUUUAAUUAGCUCUAUAGAGUAGCUCAUGCCUCAGCAGAUCUACAUUUUAUAUGUUGGAUCUAUGUGGUGCCAGUCAGUUAGUUAAUCAGUUAAGUCGUCCAUUCAGGCUAACUGUCUGCUCAAUCAAACGAUGAACUUAGCCGACUAAAUAGGGUGACUAUUUCAGUGAUUAGUCAGAAUUUGGUCUAAAAAUGCAUUGCUCUGGUGAGAGUAGGAGUAGUACUAAUUAUAUUUUGUUUACUUUGGCCUACUUAAUAUGUCGUAUCUGCUUACUUAUGGCUGCUCAUUUUCCUGUUAUUAAUGUAAUGCUGCUUCUUUCAUCUGAGGUUUCAACCAGCAUGUUCUGACUUAGAAGUCUGUUCAUAUUUCUGAUUCAGAACAUCAAAGCAUGGAGCACCAUCUGCCAGGGCUGUAAAGUAUACAUAUGGUUGCUUAUUUAAUGGCCUUCUGGCUAUACUAUGAUGCAUCUGUUAGUGGUCUGAAUAAGAACUAAUAUGAUGGCGCCAACAAGUAACAGUGUUAGUUCAGUUGUACAGCAUGUGCUGACAUAUGCAAUUUAGUCGGUAUUAUUUGCUACUCAUUUUCAUGGAGCAAAAUCAGAAACCUUCUUAAUAGCAGCCUGGCUAUUCCAAUAGACUCCAUUUCUUGAAUGAAUUUAUUAGUUCCUUACUUCUUGGUAGCUAUCUAGCAUCACUGCUCUUUUACUUUCUGCUUUUGUCUUGCAGCUAACUGUUUGAAAGUGAUAUGCUCAAUGGUGAGUUCUCCAGUUCUUGGUGCAGGUGUCUUCGACUUCAUAGAUUUGUAAUCACCGUGGGGAGUAAAUUUAGACUCUGCACAUCAGGUCAUUUUGCUCAAAGGAUAAUUUCAUAUCUUUCCUUUUUCAGUUAUGUGCUAAAAUGUUUGGUGAGGUAUCAUCUUAGUAUAGUCAGGCGCAUCCGGUUGGUCACCGUCGCAUCUCUAAUUCUAUAUAUACAUUGUGCGGAAGACAUUGCCCAUGGCUUCUUGGUCCCUUGCGAUGAAAGCUAGUGUGGCUUUCGCGUUACAUUCGGAAAUCAUGUUGCUGGAGAAGCAUCGAGGGACCUUGCAUGCUGAGGUAUAUAAGGUGCUCUUCUUGGUUAGGAAUUUUCAACUUCGUGAUGGCAGUAUUCGAAGAAUUGAUUGGACCUACUUAUAUCAUGUAGCAGCUGUAGCUUGUGUCCGCAUGAGUUUUUUGUAGUGGAAAGUCCAAAAUCAGUAAUGGUUGUUUCUGAGUGUUUUGGCUUGCUCCUACGUUGGCUGGCAGUUAUGUUCUACAGCCUGUAAUCGAUGUGGAAGUGUUAUGUGUUUUCCCUUUGAA